GACGAACGCUGGCGGCGUGCUUAACACAUGCAAGUCGAACGGAAAGGCCUUUUCGGAGGUACUCGAGUGGCGAACGGGUGAGUAACACGUGGGUGAUCUGCCCUGCACUCUGGGAUAAGCCUGGGAAACUGGGUCUAAUACCGGAUAGGACCACACUUUAGUGUGUGUGGUGGAAAGUUUUUUCGGUGUAGGAUGAGCCCGCGGCCUAUCAGCUUGUUGGUGGGGUAAUGGCCUACCAAGGCGGCGACGGGUAGCCGGACUGAGAGGUUGGUCGGCCACAUUGGGACUGAGAUACGGCCCAGACUCCUACGGGAGGCAGCAGUGGGGAAUAUUGCACAAUGGGCGCAAGCCUGAUGCAGCGACGCCGCGUGGGGGAUGACGGCCUUCGGGUUGUAAACUCCUUUCGCCAGGGACGAAGCGUUUUGUGACGGUACCUGGAGAAGAAGCACCGGCUAACUACGUG
rnacentral:rRNA from 1 species